GAUCUGGGGACACUGAUCCCAGGUCAGAUUACACAUUUUACCACCUCAUGGAUGGGGUUAGGAUCUGGGGAGGGCAAGCUGAUCCCAGGUCAGAUUACACAUUUUACCACCUAAUGGGUUAGGAUCUGUGGAGGGCAAGCUGAUCCCAGGUCAGAUUACACAUUUUACCACCUAAUGGGUUAGGAUCUGUGGAGGGCAAGCUGAUCCCAGGUCAGAUUACACAUUUUACCACCUAAUGGGUUAGGAUCUGUGGAGGGCAAGCUGAUCCCAGGUCAGAUUACACAUUUUACCACCUAACGGGUUAGAAUCUGGGGAGGGCAAGCUGAUCCCAGGUCAGAUUGUUGGUAUAUACAGCCAGACUAUUCGACUGUCGUCCCAGAGCUCCUGGUUGUCAUCCUGUCCCCUACACCCUAACCCCUACACCCUAACCCCUACACCCUAACCCCUACACCCUAACUAACCCCUACAUCCCUCUGACCAGGGACUGAUUCAGACCUGGGACACCAGGUAACUAGACUGUCUUGGCCAAUCACUGACAUUAAUCAAUUAAUCAAUUAACUACUAUCUAGGGAGACGAGACACCCAGCAGAGUUAAAGACCCGGGGACAUGGAGCUGGACAGUCUCCACAUUACAGCCUGAUACAGAGGGUCCCAAUAGUAUCCCCUUUCUCCUGAAGUGUACACUCGUUCACUACAAAUCUAAAACCAUUGGUUUGGUUAGAGGCUUUUUGUUGUUUUGUUAUACCAGUAAUUUCCUUUGAACUCAAUGAAGGGAAGUGAAGAAAGUGCCCACUUUCUGGAGGACAGACAGACAGACAGACAGACAGACAGACAGACAGACAGACAGACAGACAGACAGACAGACAGACAGAAUAGGGACCUCUAGAGUUUCUGGUGAAUAAGAUAUAGAGUAAUAUAUUUAAUUCCCUUUUCGCUGCACUGAAAAGUUACUGUAUAAUUACGUCUCCGUCAUCUUGAAUAUGCUAAUGAGUAACCAGGAAGUAGCAAUGGUGGCCACGCCCACUCCUCUCUUUCUCUCUCUCUCUCUCUCUCUCUCUCUCU